UGACAAGAAGGAUAUGAUCGCUAUAUUGGAGAUGGUAAAUGGAAAAUAUACAUUAUUAGUACUUUCUAAUGUGUUUACAUAGAAACAUAAAGCCGGAUAAUUACAAAUCAAAAACGACCUGAAUCAAUGUAUGAUGUAGCACGUUUGGCCCUAAGACCAUCUUUAUCGCUAGGUCCUAAGUGAGUUUUUAAAUAAAAUAGUCCAUUUAUUUAAACCAAAACAAAAUAAAAAUGGGCUUACCGAUCCUUAACUAAGGUUUUCUGGGACCGGUUUUGAAGUGGGUUUUUCCACCACGUGUCAGCAAAAAAAGACACAAGACUUUUUUUUUCUUUUUUCUUUUCUUUUCUCUUUUGUUUCCUCGUCUUCUCCGUCGAAACUUCUCAACUCUUCCCAUACCGAAGACGAGGAAGUUGGCUGGAGCUAGCUCUUUCAAGACGUUGAAGGAGAUCGAGAUCUCGUGGAUGUUUUGUUGUGGGGUUAUGGUGAAGGUCGCGUAGUGGACGAUGGCUUGGAGCUGGAUCGGUGUCGCUGAGUAAUCAGCCGCUGCGGCCACCGAUCGGCUUUUGGCGCUUGCGGUGGAGCAGAUGAAGAAUGCGUCGUCGGCUUCACCAAUUCUUAAAGAGAAAUUGAAGCUUAAAGCAGCAAGUGAAUACAAUUAUUUGAACCAGAGCAACUGCUUAACAAUUGAUCGCAUUGAUGAUUCUCAGAAAUUUCACAAAUUGAUGGUAACUCCUUAUGUUUCCUGGACUAAUGAUGCUUAUUAUUUUCCUCUUGCUUAUUGCAGCUGUCACUAACGUAGCUAUGUUAAUGGGAUGCGACUGAAAAGAGCUUAUGGUGGUUUUGUCUACAUGCAAGCUCCAAGCUGGUAGAGAUUGCAUUGUUAAAAGACUGACACUGCCACAGGCGACUGAUAUGAGGGAU